rnacentral:lncRNA from 1 species
GAAAAGGAGAGUCCUGUUUUCUGCAGAAAACUCAGCUGAUUUGAAAAUAAAUAUAGGGGAAAUAAAUAGCAACCAAGAGUAAAUGUUAUUUCUCUUUGAACUUGUAAAAUUCAAAAAACUAAAUAGUCUUAAAAUGUGCUCUCUGUUCUUCCAGCAGCAAGCUUACUCAAGAGUUCAGAAUGUUGACAGAAAUAAAUAACAAAUCAGUUUAUAAGGAAAAAAAAUGGGAGCAAUUUUUGUCUUGUUUUCAGGAUUGUAUAUCUUGCUAGGGCUUGAAGAACACUGCUUUGGAUUUCUCAUAUAGCAGGUGUAUGUGCUUGUAUCAUAAAUUAUCAUUUGCACCGCAGCAGCCCCUUAGGCCAUAUCUGAGAGAGGAAACCCAGGGUAUGUCUGGAGUGUGCACCCAGAGGUGGGAGUGCUUGCUCCAGCCAUCUCAGAGCCUCCUGCAGUGACUUAAU